UACGGAGGGUGCAAGCGUUAAUCGGAAUUACUGGGCGUAAAGCGCGCGCAGGCGGUUUAUUAAGUUAGAUGUGAAAUCCCCGGGCUUAACCUGGGAACUGCAUCUGAUACUGGUCAGCUUGAGUCUCGUAGAGGGGGGUAGAAUUCCAGGUGUAGCGGUGAAAUGCGUAGAGAUGUGGAGGAAGACCGGUGGCGAAGGCGGCCCCCUGGACGAAGACUGACGCUCAGGUGCGAAAGCGUGGGGAGCAAACAGG
rnacentral:rRNA from 1 species